rnacentral:rRNA from 1 species
GUGCCAGCCGCCGCGGUAAUACGUAGGGGGCGAGCGUUGUCCGGAAUUACUGGGCGUAAAGAGUUCGUAGGCGGUCUGAUAAGUCAGAUGUGAAAGGCGUAGGCUUAACCUAUGUAAGCAUAUGAAACUGUCAGACUUGAGGUAAGGAGAGGAAAGUGGAAUUCCUAGUGUAGCGGUGAAAUGCGUAGAUAUUAGGAGGAAUACCAGUGGCGAAGGCGACUUUCUGGACUUAAACUGACGCUGAGGAACGAAAGCGUGGGGAGCAAACAGGAUUAGAUACCCUGGUAGUCCACGCCGUAAACGAUGAGUGCUAGGUGUCGGGUAGAAAUAUUCGGUGCCGCAGCUAACGCAAUAAGCACUCCGCCUGGGGAGUACGUACGCAAGUAUGAAACUCAAAUGAAUUGGCGGGG